rnacentral:sRNA from 1 species
AGGUUUUGGAAAUUUACUUGCCGAAAAGUCCACGAGGAUGCCCGUUACGAUUGGCAUCGACGACCCAAAAUAUUGGGAGUGCGAGAAUAUGUUGUAUGAGGAGCUUUUGCUACCCAUCAUCUAUCCUGACUUUCAAAAGCCAAGUUAUCACCAAGUCCUGUUGCGGGCCACUGGCGGGACGUAUUUCUUCGACUUCGGCGACGACUCAUCGAAAACCCCGCCUCGCAGAAGCGCUCGACUUGUGAAAUUGCAUCAAAAAGUUGCAGCGAAGGAUGCUGCACCGCAAUGUGCAACGACUGUCCCAACCGACGAAGGUCGUACGAAGAAAAGGAAAAAAGACCAAG